AAAGUCCCUUCGGGGACAAGGUGACAGGUGGUGCAUGGUUGUCGUCAGCUCGUGUCGUGAGAUGUUCGGGUUAAGUCCCGCAACGAGCGCAACCCUUGUCGUUAGUUACUACCAUUAAGUUGAGGACUCUAGCGAGACUGCCUGGGUUAACCAGGAGGAAGGUGGGGAUGACGUCAAAUCAUCAUGCCCCUUAUGUGUAGGGCUACACACGUGCUACAAUGGCUGGUACAGAGAGAUGCAAUACCGCGAGGUGGAGCCAAACUUUAAAACCAGUCUCAGUUCGGAUUGUAGGCUGAAACUCGCCUACAUGAAGCUGGAGUUACUAGUAAUCGCGAAUCAGAAUGUCGCGGUGAAUACGUUCCCGGGUCUU
rnacentral:rRNA from 1 species